AGCAUAUAAAUUUUUUUUGAGGAAACAGUGGGGUAAAAGCCCCCCACCUUUCUUUUUCUUUUUUCUAUUUAUUCAAACAAGAGAGAAAAACCAGUAUAACAACGGUAUUAUCUCUGUUCGAUUUAAUUAGGCUUAGCAUCCUUAUUUCCAAUUAAAUUAUACUCCCUCUACUCCAAAUUAUAAGAUAUUUUGGCUUUUCUAGAUACAUUAUUGUUUUUACUAUGCAUCUAGACAAAGUAUAUAUCUAUGGUCAAUCUCAAUGGAGAGUUUCAUAGAAUUUCAUAGACAUUAAGUACAUCGACAUAGCACUAUAUUCAUGAAGAGAAAGAUGAUGAAAGUUUUAUAGGAGUAGAAAGAGUUUCAUAGGAAUAAAACUUUCUACACUGUUUCUAAAAUAUGGGUAUGUUAAAUACUGGGUCAUGAAACCUCAACAAAGACUGUCCUAAGCAUACAGAGAAACUAUUCUAUCUAGAAAACCCAAAAAAUCUUAUAAUUUUGAAUGGAAGGAGAGUAUAUUGUCCCAAGGUCUGUAAUUAAUGCUAGGAGCAAUGUGCAUUUGUACCAUAUGUGAAACUAAGAGGAAUAUGAACAAAUUUAUUGGAAUCUAUGUUGCACUUGUCCUAUGGUUGGAGAGAAACAAUAGGCGUGCCAAAUGUGUGCACGUACGCUCACCAAGCUGAGUGAUGUCAUGUGGUAUGCAUGCGCAUGUCAAUAUAAGUAACGUGGUGUGUGCUACGUCGCUUGAUUCUAGACUUCCACUGCCAUUGCAACAAGUUUUUUUUUUUGGGGGGGGGGGGCAUAGAGCAAUCUCACAAAAUUUCUCGCCGAAACUGUUCCUUCUUAUAUGCACUCGUGAUUGAUCAUCCCCGAUGAUCAAAAGUGUUGCCAAUUUAUUCCUACACUGCAAAAACAUAGAUCAACUACAUCAAGAAGUUCAGUGUCUCAUAAACCAAAGAAUAGUGUUGCCAAUUUAUUCCUACACGGUAUCCUAAUUGAUCUUACUUGGUCUCAGAACCACAAAUUAUGUUUUAGGACUAAAAGGAUCAAAAUGUCCAAGAGAGAAGGUGUGAAUUGGGCUAAUUCUAAAAAUUUAUGCAAGAAUUAAACCGUAUGCCUAGCCCAUUUUACCUCUCGGUGCUUAAGAGUGUUUCUAUCAAUGACGGAGCCAGAAAAAAAAAAUUAUAGGUGGGGCGAGUUCUAACGAGAAAAUCAAGUUGCACCGUAAUAAUUACAGACUACCGUCACACAAAUUAAGACAAAAAAGCUACAAUCACAUAAAUUAUGCUGAAAAAGUAGAUAAGCAAUAUAAGAUGUUACCUCAUUUUUUUAAAAAAAUAGUAAUAGUUCUUCAUAAGUUGAUCCAUACAUGAUACAUGAAAAAAAAAAUACAAAAAGAUAAGAACUUAAGGACCUAUAAAUUGUACGAAGACCAAUUUACCCGGCCGGUCAUGGGGUUACUGGGCACGAGCUGCUCUUGCUCGAUCCCACGGGCUCACGUGGCCGAUGGCCGCGGCUUGUGGACACGACGGCAAAGCUGCUGAGGGUUGAGGCACCAACGCACCAGGCACCUGCUUGCCCUCGGUUUGGGCGUAGCGCUUGGCUGCUUCUUGCGCUCGGUCGCAAGCAUCGGGCCUUCGCCCUCUGGGGAGCUGGCUGCUUGCUUGAUGCCUUGGCCGAUCGGCCUUUGGACCUUGGUGCUUCGUGCUUGGUGGAUUGGUUGGGAAAAGGAAUGGAAGCACGAGCACCGAGGAUUGAAAGCUAGAGGGUUGUCGAUGU
rnacentral:lncRNA from 1 species